rnacentral:rRNA from 1 species
UACGAAGGGGGGCUAGCGUUGCUCGGAAUCACUGGGCGUAAAGCGCACGUAGGCGGCUUUCUAAGUCAGGGGUGAAAUCCUGGAGCUCAACUCCAGAACUGCCUUUGAUACUGGGAAGCUCGAGUCCGGAAGAGGUGAGUGGAACUGCGAGUGUAGAGGUGAAAUUCGUAGAUAUUCGCAAGAACACCAGUGGCGAAGGCGGCGAUCUGGGAAGAUACUGACGCUGAGGUGCGAAAGCGUGGGGAGCGAACAGG